rnacentral:ncRNA from 2 species
AUGGACCAAGGGAGGGGGUUGGGGUGGGAAGUUUCUGAUGGUGCUUUUGUCCUUUGUGCCUGCCACCUUCAGGGCUGUGUGGAGAAGAUUGGGGGCUGGCUGAGGAAAAAUGUGCUGGUGGUAGCUGCAGCAGCCCUUGGAAUUGCUUUUGUCGAGGUUUUGGGAAUUGUCUUUGCCUGCUGCCUCGUGAAGAGUAUCAGAAGUGGCUACGAGGUGAUGUAGGGGUCUGG